ACUGUACGGGAGGCAGCAGUGAGGAAUAUUGGUCAAUGGGCGAGAGCCUGAACCAGCCAAGUAGCGUGCAGGAAGACGGCCCUAUGGGUUGUAAACUGCUUUUAUAGGGGAAUAAAGUGAUCCACGUGUGGAUUAUUGUAUGUACCCUAUGAAUAAGGACCGGCUAAUUCCGUGCCAGCAGCCGCGGUAAUCAGU
rnacentral:rRNA from 1 species